AAUUCGGAGUCUUUGAACGCAAGUUGCGCCCGAUGCCAUUAGGUUGAGGGCACGUCUGCCUGGGUGUCACAUAUCGAAACCCCCUGCCAAUUUCCCUUUGAUUAUUGUGCAGGGUGGAUGUUGGCCUCCCGUGAGCUCUUUUGUCUCAUGGUUGGUUGAAAAUUGAGACCUUGGUAGGGUGUGCCAUGAUAGAUGGUGGUUGUGUGACCCACGAGACCAAUCGUGCGCUGCUCUAUUGAAUUUGGCCUCUUUUACCCAUAUGCGUUUCUAAACGCUCGUGAUGAGACCUCAGGUCAGGCGGGGCUACCCGCUGAAUUUAAGCAUAUCAAUAAGCGGAGGAAAAGAAACUAACAAGGAUUCCCUUAGUAACGGCGAGCGAACCGGGAUAAGCCCACCAUGAGAAUCGGUCGCCCUCGGCGUUCGAAUUGUAGUUGAAAAAAACCGUCAAAUUCAAGA
rnacentral:rRNA from 1 species